rnacentral:rRNA from 1 species
GACGAACGCUGGCGGCGUGCUUAACACAUGCAAGUCGAACGGAAAGGCCCUGCUUUUGUGGGGUGCUCGAGUGGCGAACGGGUGAGUAACAAGUGAGUAACCUGCCCUUGACUUUGGGAUAACUUCAGGAAACUGGGGCUAAUACCGGAUAGGAGCUCCUGCUGCAUGGUGGGGGUUGGAAAGUUUGGGCGGUUGGGGAUGGACUCGCGGCUUAUCAGCUUGUUGGUGGGGGAGUGGCUUACCAAGGCUUUGACGGGUAGCCGGCCUGAGAGGGUGACCGGCCACAUUGGGACUGAGAUACGGCCCAGACUCCUACGGGAGGCAGCAGUGGGGAAUAUUGCACAAUGGGCGGAAGCCUGAUGCAGCAACGCCGCGUGCGGGAUGACGGCCUUCGGGUUGUAAACCGCUUUCGCCUGUGACGAAGCGUGAGUGACGGUAAUGGGUAAAGAAGCACCGGCUAACUACGUG